AGCAGUCGCCGCGGUAAUACGUAGGGUGCGAGCGUUAAUCGGAAUUACUGGGCGUAAAGCGAGCGCAGACGGUUAUUCAAGCAGGAUGUGAAAUCCCCGGGCUUAACCUGGGAACUGCGUUCUGAACUGGAUAGCUAGAGUGCGGCAGAGGGGGAUGGAAUUCCGCGUGUAGCAGUGAAAUGCGUAGAUAUGCGGAGGAACACCGAUGGCGAAGGCAAUCCCCUGGGCCUGCACUGACGCUCAUGCACGAAAGCGUGGGGAGCAAACAGGAUUAGAUACCCCUGUAGUCCCUGUCUCUUAUAC
rnacentral:rRNA from 1 species